rnacentral:rRNA from 1 species
AUUGAACGCUGGCGGCGUGCUUAACACAUGCAAGUCGACCGGUAACAGGUGUAGCAAUCCAUGCUGACGAGAGGCGGACGGGCGAGGAAUAUUUGGGAAUCUGCCUAUCAGCGGCGGACAACCCGGGGACACCCGGGCUAAUACCGCCUACGCUCGACGGAGGAAAGCCGGGGACCGCAAGGCCUGGCACCGGUAGAGCAGCCCAAGUCGGAUUAGCUAGCUGGCGGGGUAACGGCCCACCAAGGCGACGCUCCGUAGCGGGUCUGAGAGGACGAUCAGCCACACCGGAACUGAGACACGGUCCGGACUCCUACGGGAGGCAGCAGGGGGAAUAUUGGACAAUGGGCGAAAGCCUGAUCCAGCGACGCCGUGUGGGUGAAGAAGGCCUGCGGGUUGUAAAGCCCUUUCGGUAGGGACGAAAGCUCUCGACCUAACACGUCGGGAGGUUGACUUAACCUACAAAAGAAGCACCGGCUAACUCUGUGCCAGCAGCCGCUGUAACAC